CACUCCUGCGGGAGGCAGCAGUGGGGAAUUUUGGACAAUGGGCGAAAGCCUGAUCCAGCAAUGCCGCGUGAGUGAAGAAGGCCUUCGGGUUGUAAAGCUCUUUUGUCAGGGAAGAAACGGUGAAAGCUAAUAUCUUUUGCUAAUGACGGUACCUGAAGAAUAAGCACCGGCUAACUACGUGCCAGCAGCCGCGGUAAUACGUAGGGUGCAAGCGUUAAUCGGAAUUACUGGGCGUAAAGCGUGCGCAGGCGGUUUUGUAAGUCUGAUGUGAAAUCCCCGGGCUCAACCUGGGAAUUGCAUUGGAGACUGCAAGGCUAGAAUCUGGCAGAGGGGGGUAGAAUUCCACGUGUAGCAGUGAAAUGCGUAGAUAUGUGGAGGAACACCGAUGGCGAAGGCAGCCCCCUGGGUCAAGAUUGACGCUCAUGCACGAAAGCGUGGGGAGCAAACAGGAUUAGAUACCCGUGUAUCC
rnacentral:rRNA from 1 species